AGGGAAAGAGCUCAGUGGAAGAGCGCAUGAUUUGCAUGCACAAGGUCCUGGGUUCAAUCCUCAGUGUCUCCA
rnacentral:tRNA from 1 species